rnacentral:rRNA from 1 species
UACGAAGGUGGCUAGCGUUGUUCGGAAUCACUGGGCGUAAAGCGCACGCAGGCGGAUUGAUAAGUCGGGGGUGAAAUCCCGGGGCUCAACCUCGGAAUUGCCUUCGAUACUGUCUGUCUUGAGUCCGGGAGAGGUGAGUGGAAUUCCUAGUGUAGAGGUGAAGUUCGUAGAUAUUAGGAAGAACACCAGUGGCGAAGGCGGCUCACUGGCCCGGUACUGACGCUCAUGUGCGAAAGCGUGGGGAGCAAACAGG